rnacentral:rRNA from 1 species
UUGGCUCAGAAGCAGCCACCAUUUAAAGAGUGCGUAAUAGCUCACUGGUCGAGAGACGCUGCGCCGAAAAUGUCCGGGGCUCAAGCACGGAACCGAAGCUAUGGCAUGAUAGCAAUAUCAUGGGUAGGGGAGCGUUCUUAUAAGGAAGAAGCAUGACCGGAAGGACAUGUGGACAAAUAAGAAGUGAGAAUGCCGGUAUGAGUAUCGAAAAGAAAGGUGAGAAUCCUUUCCACCGAAAGCCCGAGGGUUCCUGAGCAACGAUCGUCGACUCAGGGUAAGUCGGGACCUAAGCCGAGGCGAGAAGCGUAGGCGAUGGACAACAGGUUGAAAUUCCUGUACCGGAUCAAGUCGAUCGAGCGAAGGAGCGACGCAGGAGGGCACAUGAUCGCGCGGCUGGAAGAGCGCGUCCAAGUGCGUAUGUUGCAGCAGAGGAAAACCCCUGCGGCUGAAAGCAGAGACAUGAUGGGGAGUUAAAGGAAACUUUGACGAACUCAUGAAUCCCACACUGCCAAGAAAAACUUCUAGCGAGACAAGAUCCGCCCGUACCGUAAACCGACACAGGUAGGCGGGGAGAGAAUCCUAAGGUGCGCGGGAAAACCCUCGUUAAGGAACUCGGCAAAUUGCAUCCGUAACUUCGGGAGAAGGAUGGCCCCCGGUCAGUGAAGAGCAGAAACGCUCAGAGCUAAAAGGGGCGGCAGAAAAGAGGCCCAAGCAACUGUUUACCAAAAACACAGGUGCCUGCGAAAGCGAAAGCUGAAGUAUAGGUGCUGACGCCUGCCCGGUGCCGGAAGGUUAAGGAGAGAGGUUAGCGAAAGCGAAGCUUUGAACUGAAGCCCCGGUGAACGGCGGCCGUAACUAUAACGGUCCUAAGGUAGCGAAAUUCCUUGUCGGGUAAGUUCCGACCCGCACGAAAGGCGUAACGAUUUGGGCACUGUCUCGACGAGGGGCCCGGUGAAAUUGAAAUACCUGUGAAGAUGCAGGUUACCCGCGACUGGACAGAAAGACCCCAUGGAGCUUCACUGCAGCUUGAGAUUGAAUCCCGGUGACAGAUGCACAGGAUAGGUGGGAGGCGUCGAAGCAUUGCCCUAGGGCGGUGCGGAGCCGAUGUUGGGAUACCACCCUUCUGUUGCUGAGAUUCUAACGCGAGGAGUAACGACCCUGCGGACCCUCUCAGGCAGGCGGUUUGACUGGGGCGGUCGCCUCCGAAAGAGUAACGGAGGCGCCCAAAGGUUCCCUCAGGCCGGACAGAAACCGGCCGAAGAGUGCAAAGGCAGAAGGGAGCUUGACUGCGAGACCAACAAGUCGAGCAGGGACGAAAGUCGGGCUUAGUGAUCCGGUGGUAC